AUACCUUUCUCGGCCUUUUGGCUAAGAUCAAGUGUAGUAUCUGUUCUUAUCAGUUUAAUAUCUGAUACGUGGGCCAUUGGUUCACAUGAUAUUAAAUUUAUUUUUUUGAGGGGGAGAUUUCAUCACAGUAGCUUGCUAUUGGGGAUCUCGAGCGUAGCCCACGCGUUGCACUAAAGCUCGGGCCUGGCGCAUCCCAC